UACGGAGGGGGCUAGCGUUGUUCGGAAUUACUGGGCGUAAAGCGCGCGUAGGCGGACUUUCAAGUCAGGUGUGAAAUCCCGAGGCUCAACCUCGGAACUGCCUUUGAUACUGUAAGUCUUGAGUCCGAGAGAGGUGAGUGGAAUUCCUAGUGUAGAGGUGAAAUUCGUAGAUAUUAGGAAGAACACCAGUGGCGAAGGCGGCUCACUGGCUCGGUACUGACGCUGAGGUGCGAAAGCGUGGGGAGCAAACAGG
rnacentral:rRNA from 1 species